rnacentral:piRNA from 1 species
AAGGUUUAGUGCAUGGAAUGAUU